rnacentral:rRNA from 1 species
UUAGCCGUGGGCAGUUACUGUUGGGUGGCGCAGCUAACGCAUUAACAUUCCGCAUGGGAGUACGGUCGCAAGAUUAAUACUCAACGGAAUUGACGGGGGCCCGCACAAGCGUUGGAGCAUGUGGUUUAAUUAGUAGCAACGCGCAGAACCUUACCAGCUCUCGACAUUCGGGGUAUGGGCAUCGGAGACGAUGUCCUUCAGUUAGGCUGGCCCCAGAACAGAUGCUGCAUGGCAGUCGUCAGCUCGUGUCGUGAGAUGUUGGGUUAAGUCCCGCAACGAGCGCAACCCUCGCCGUUAGUUGCCAGCAUUUAGUGGGGCACUCUAAGGGGACUGCCGGUGUUAAGCCGAGAGGAAGGUGGGGACGACGUCAAGUCCUCAUGGCCCCUACGGGCUGGGCUACACACGUGCUACAAUGGUGGUGACAGUGGGCAGCGAGACAGCGAUGUCGAGCUAAUCUCCAAAAGCCAUCUCAGUUCGGAUUGCACUCUGCAACUCGAGUGCAUGAAGUUGGAAUCGCUAGUAAUCGCAGAUCAGCAUGCUGCGGUGAAUACGUUCCCGGGCCUCGUACACACCGCCCGUCACACCAUGGGAGUUGGUUUUACCCGAAGGUAGUGCGCUAACCGCAAGGAGGCAGCUAACCACGGUAGGGUCAGCGACUGGGGUGAAGUCGUACCA